CGCAGGCUACCCAGCCGCGGGGGGUGCACGGAGAAAAGGGGCGGGGUGGUCCGGGCUGCUGUGCUGGCAGCAGUAGGCGAGGGCGCGGCUGCGGGGUUCCUGGUGCUGAGGACGGACGCCAUUGGAGCCCCAGAGAAGGCUUUGCUCUCAUCUCCCUGGGACCCGCAGCAUGGCUGAGGGAAGCUUCGGCGUGCAAUCGGAAAGCUACAGUGUUGAAGACAUGGAUGAGGGUAGCGACGAAGUCCGGGAGGAAGAGAUGGUUGAAGGCAACGACUAUGAAGAAUUCGGUGCGUUUGGUGGCUACGGCACCCUCACCAGCUUUGACAUCCAUAUCCUCAGAGCCUUCGGAAGCUUGGGUCCAGGGCUUCGCAUCUUAUCGAAUGAGCCGUGGGAACUGGAAAACCCUGUGCUGGCCCAGACCCUGGUGGAGGCAUUGCAACUGGAUCCGGACACACUUGCCAAUGAGACCGCCGCCCGUGCUGCCAACGUAGCCCGCGCCGCCGCCUCCAACCGUGCGGCUCGGGCCGCUGCCGCCGCUGCCCGUACCGCCUUCACUCAGGUGGUCGCUAGCCACCGGGUGGCCACGCCGCAGGUCUCAGGAGAGGAUACCCAGCCCACGACCUACGCCGCCGAGGCUCAGGGGCCCACCCCUGAGCCACCCCUUGCUUCUCCGCAGACCUCCCAGAUGUUAGUCACCAGUGAGAUGGCUGCCCCCGGGGCCCCGGUAACCUCCACUAAGUCCCAGACAGGCUCCCCGGCCCAGGAGGCUGCUACCGAGGGCCCUAGUAGCGCCUGUGCUUUCUCUCAGGCUCCGUGUGCCAGGGAGGUGGACACCACCCGGCCCAGCACAGCCUUCCUGGGUCAGAAUGAUGUCUUUGAUUUCACUCAGCCAGCGGGGGUCAGUGGCAUGGCCUUCCCACGCCCCAAGAGACCUGCCCCAGCCCAAGAGGGGGCCACGGAGGGCUCCAGUGCUGCCUCCGGUGUGCCCCAGACUGGACCUGGCAGAGAGGUGGCAGCCACCCGGCCCAAGACCACCAAGUCAGGGAAGGCGCUGGCCAAGACUCGGUGGGUGGAGCCUCAGAACGUUGUGGCAGCAGCUGCUGCCAAGGCCAAGAUGGCCACGAGCAUCCCUGAGCCGGAGGGCGCAGCUGCUGCCACUGCUCAGCACAGUGCUGAGCCCUGGGCCAGGAUGGGAGGCAAGAGGACCAAGAAGUCCAAGCACCUGGAUGAUGAGUAUGAGAGCAGCGAGGAGGAGAGAGAGCCUCCUGCGGUCCCACCCACCUGGAGAGCAUCACAGCCCUCAUUGACGGUGCGGGCUCAGUUGGCCCCUCGGCGCCCGGUGGCCCCGAGGUCCCAGAUACCCUCAAGGCACGUACUGUGCCUGCCGCCCCGCAACGUGACGCUUCUGCAAGAGAGGGCAAAUAAGUUGGUAAAAUACCUGAUGAUUAAGGACUACAAGAAGAUCCCCAUCAAGCGUGCAGACAUGCUGAAGGAUGUCAUCAGAGAAUAUGAUGAACAUUUCCCUGAGAUCAUUGAACGAGCAACGUACACCCUGGAAAAGAAGUUUGGGAUCCACCUGAAGGAGAUCGACAAGGAAGAACACCUGUAUAUUCUUGUCUGCACACGGGACUCCUCAGCGCGCCUCCUUGGAAAAACCAAGGACACUCCCAGGCUGAGUCUCCUCUUGGUGAUUCUGGGCGUCAUCUUCAUGAAUGGCAACCGUGCCAGCGAGGCUGUCCUCUGGGAGGCACUACGCAAGAUGGGACUGCGCCCUGGGGUGAGGCACCCAUUCCUCGGCGAUCUGAGGAAGCUCAUCACAGAUGACUUUGUGAAGCAGAAGCCAGGGCCCACCCUCUCCCCGUCCCUGGAGGACUUGCCAACGCACAGGCGCGCAUGCACACCAACAAAGGGUCAGGACUUGAGGAGGAUGCCUGGAGCACGCUUCUCCUGGCUGACUGUUUCUUCCUUUCCAGUCGUUUCCUCUGGUACCUGGAAUACAAGAAGAUCCCUAACAGCAACCCACCUGAGUAUGAAUUCCUCUGGGGCCUGCGAGCCCGCCAUGAGACCAGCAAGAUGAGGGUCCUGAGAUUCAUCGCCCAGAAUCAGAACCGAGACCCCCGGGAAUGGAAGGCUCAUUUCUUGGAGGCUGUGGAUGAUGCUUUCAAGACAAUGGAUGUGGAUAUGGCCGAGGAACAUGCCAGGGCCCAGAUGAGGGCCCAGAUGAAUAUCGGGGACGAAGCUCUGAUUGGACGGUGGAGCUGGGAUGACAUACAAGUCGAGCUCCUGACCUGGGAUGAGGACGGAGAUUUUGGCGACGCCUGGGCCAGGAUCCCCUUUGCUUUCUGGGCCAGAUACCACCAGUACAUUCUGAAUAGCAACCGUGCCAACAGGAGGGCCACGUGGAGAGCUGGUGUCAGCAGUGGCACCAACGGAGGGGCCAGCACCAGCGUCCUAGAUGGCCCUAGCACCAGCUCCACCAUCCGGACCAGAAAUGCCGCCAGAGCUGGCGCCAGCUUCUUCUCUUGGAUCCAGCACCGUUGACGAACUGCAGCGAUCUGACUGGCCAAGCCAGAGUGCCUCCUCUCAGAUUCCUUCUCGACACAGCACCCUAGGCAGCUUCUUCCUGUCAGUCAGAGGUGGCAUGCAAGAUGAAGCUCUCUUUGCUCUUCCUGCUUUCAUUUUGUGCUUUUCCUUGCGCUUUCAUGUUUUGGGUAUCAGUGUUACAUUAAAGUUGCAAAAUUAA